AGGACGAACGCUGGCGGCGUGCUUAACACAUGCAAGUCUAGGGGGCCCAGCAAUGGGUCACCGGCGAACGGGUGCGUAACACGUGAGCGACCUACCUUGAGAUGGGGGAUAGCCGGCCCAACGGCCGGGUAAUACCGCAUACGCUCAUCGGGCUUCAUGGCUUGGUGAGGAAAGCUUUAGCGUCUCUAGAGGGGCUCGCGGCCUAUCAGCUUGUGGCGGGUAACGCCCACAAGGCUAUGACGGGUAGCUGGU
rnacentral:rRNA from 1 species